GACGGAGGAUGCAAGUGUUAUCCGGAAUCACUGGGCGUAAAGCGUCUGUAGGUGGUUACAUAAGUCAACUGUUAAAUCUUGAGGCUCAACCUCAAAAUCGCAGUCGAAACUAUUAGACUAGAGUAUAGUAGGGGUAAAGGGAAUUUCCAGUGGAGCGGUGAAAUGACGUAGAGAUUGGAAAGAACACCGAUGGCGAAGGCACUUUACUGGGCUAUUACUAACACUCAGAGACGAAAGCUAGGGUAGCAAAUGGG
rnacentral:rRNA from 1 species